UACGUAGGGAGCAAGCGUUGUCCGGAUUUAUUGGGCGUAAAGAGCUCGUAGGCGGCUUGGCAAGUCGGAUGUGAAACCCCCAGGCUUAACCUGGGGCCGCCAUUCGAUACUGCUAUGGCUUGAGUUCGGUAGGGGAUUGUGGAAUUCCCGGUGUAGCGGUGAAAUGCGCAGAUAUCGGGAGGAACACCAAUGGCGAAGGCAGCAAUCUGGGCCGACACUGACGCUGAGGAGCGAAAGUGUGGGGAGCAAACAGGAUUAGAUACCCUGGUAGUCCACGCCCUAAACGUUGGGCACUAGGUGUGGGACCUACUUCGACGGGUUCCGUGCCGUAGCUAACGCAUUAAGUGCCCCGCCUGGGGAGUACGGCCGCAAGGCUAAAACUCAAAGGAAUUGACGGGGGCCCGCACAAGCGGCGGAGCAUGUGGCUUAAUUCGAUGCAACGCGAAGAACCUCACCUGGGCUUGACAUGUUGGGAAAAGCCGUAGAGAUACGGUGUCCAUUAGGGCCCUUCACAGGUGGUGCAUGGCUGUCGUCAGCUCGUGUCGUGAGAUGUUGAGUUAAGUCCCGCAACGAGCGCAACCCUUGUCUUAUGUUACCAGCGAGUAAUGUCGGGGACUCAUGAGAGACUGCCGGGGUCAACUCGGAGGAAGGUGGGGAUGACGUCAAGUCAUCAUGCCCCUUAUGUCCAGGGCUGCACACAUGCUACAAUGGCCGGUACAGAGGGUCGCAAUCCCGCGAGGGGGAGCUAAUCCCACAAAGCCGGUCUCAGUUCGGAUCGCAGUCUGCAACUCGACUGCGUGAAGCCGGAGUCGCUAGUAAUCCCGAAUCAGCAUUGUCGGGGUGAAUACGUUCCCGGGCCU
rnacentral:rRNA from 1 species